rnacentral:rRNA from 1 species
GAUGAACGCUGGCGGCAUGCCUAAUACAUGCAAGUCGAACGAGAGGAAGGAAAGCUUGCUUUCCUCGAAUACUAGUGGCGAACGGGUAGGAGUAACACGUAGGUAACCGUACGCCCACUAGUGCCCGGGACGUAACUUCUGGAAACGGAUGCUAAACCGGAUAGUAGCAGACAAGCAUUUGACUGCUAUUAAAGUGGCCUUGGCCAUGAACAUGGAUGGACCUGCGGUGCAUUAGCGUGGUUGGUGAGGUAACGGCCCACCAAGGCGACGAUGCAUAGCCGGCCUGAGAGGGCGGACGGCCACAUU